rnacentral:rRNA from 1 species
UGCUUUAUACAUGCAAGUCGAACGGAGGCCCUAGCUUGCUAGGUGUCCUUAGUGGCGCACGGGUGAGUAACACGUGGGAACAUACCUUAUAGUACGGAAUAACUGCGGGAAACUGUAGCUAAUACCGUAUACUCCAGUAAUGGGAAAGAUUUAUCGCUAUAAGAUUGGCCCGCGCAAGAUUAGCUUGUUGGUGAGGUAAAAGCUCACCAAGGCUUCGAUCUUUAGCUGGUUUGAGAGGACGAUCAGCCACACUGGGACUGAGACACGGCCCAGACUCCUACGGGAGGCAGCAGUAGGGAAUAUUGGACAAUGGGGGCAACCCUGAUCCAGCAAUGCAGCGUGAGUGACGAAGGCCUUAGGGUUGUAAAACUCUUUCAUCGGUGAGGAUAAUGACAGUAGCCGAAGAAGAAGGACCGGCUAAUUCCGUGCCAGCAGCCGCGGUAAUACGGAAGGUCCUAGCGUUGUUCGGAAUUACUGGGCGUAAAGCGCAUGUAGGCGGAACAGAAAGUUAGAAGUGAAAUCCCUGGGCUCAACCUAGGAAUUGCUUUUAAAACUUCUGUUCUGGAAUUCAGGAGAGGAAAAUGGAAUUUCCAGUGUAGAGGUGAAAUUCGUAGAUAUUGGAAGGAACACCAGUGGCGAAGGCGAUUUUCUGGACUGAUAUUGACGCUGAGAUGCGAAGGCAUGGGUAGCAAACGGGAUUAGAUACCCCGGUAGUCCAUGCAGUAAACGAUGGGUGCUAGUCGUCGGACUUUUGUUCGGUGUCGUAGCUAACGCGUUAAGCACCCCGCCUGGGG